AGAGUUUGAUCAUGGCUCAGAACGAACGCUGGCGGCGUGGAUUAGGCAUGCAAGUCGAGCGAGAAAGCCACCUUCGGGUGGUGAGUAAAGCGGCGAACUGGUGAGUAACAGGUGGGUAACGUGCCCCAGAGUGGGGGAUAACCCGAGGAAACUCGGGCUAAUACCGCAUACGACCGUAUGGACCCAGGUCCUGACGGUUAAAGACUUCGGUCGCUUUGGGAUCGGCCCGCCCCCGAUUAGCUUGUUGGUGGGGUAAUGGCUCACCAAGGCGAUGAUCGGUAGCUGGUCUGAGAGGACGAUCAGCCACACUGGCACUGAGACACGGGCCAGACUCCUACGGGAGGCAGC
rnacentral:rRNA from 1 species